GUCUAUGGCCAUAUCACCCUUAGCUCACCUGAUCUCCCCUGAUCUCAGAAGCUAAUCAGGGUUGAGCCUGGUUAGUACUUGGAUGGGAGAAAAUCAAUAAGGAAACAUUGGACU
ensembl:rRNA 5S_rRNA 5S ribosomal RNA